rnacentral:rRNA from 1 species
GACGGAGGAUGCAAGCGUUAUCCGGAAUGAUUGGGCGUAAAGCGUCCGCAGGCGGCAGUUCAAGUCUGCUGUCAAAGACCGGGGCUUAACUUCGGAAAGGCAGUGGAAACUGAACAGCUAGAGUAUGGUAGGGGCAGAGGGAAUUCCUGGUGUAGCGGUGAAAUGCGUAGAGAUCAGGAAGAACAUCGGUGGCGAAGGCGCUCUGCUGGACCGUAACUGACGCUGAGGGACGAAAGCUAGGGGAGCGAAUGGG